rnacentral:rRNA from 1 species
GACGAACGCUGGCGGCGUGCUUAACACAUGCAAGUCGAGCGGAAAGGCCUCUUCGGGGGUACUCGAGCGGCGAACGGGUGAGUAACACGUGAGUAACCUGCCCCAGUCUUUGGGAUAACCCUCGGAAACGGGGGCUAAUACCGGAUAUGACUUCCAGACGCAUGUCUGGGGGUGGAAAGUUUUUCUGGUCUGGGAUGGGCUCGCGGCCUAUCAGCUUGUUGGUGGGGUGAUGGCCUACCAAGGCGACGACGGGUAGCCGGCCUGAGAGGGCGACCGGCCACACUGGGACUGAGACACGGCCCAGACUCCUACGGGAGGCAGCAGUGGGGAAUAUUGCACAAUGGGCGGAAGCCUGAUGCAGCGACGCCGUGUGGGGGAUGACGGCCUUCGGGUUGUAAACCUCUUUCAGCACCGACGAAGCGGGAGUGACGGUAGGUGCAGAAGAAGCGCCGGCCAACUACGUGCCAGCCGCCGCCGUAACAC